GUUAUUGAGGGCAAGGGCUACCUCUCGCUGUUUGUAUGUAUGUACCAUGUCUUGCUCACUGGGACCUUGGUGAUGGCUUCAUCUCUGCAUGUAAAUAAUAACACUCAGCUCCUCUUCUAGGAAGUCACAGAAAGAGAAGGAGUUGGCAGACAGCUGUAUAAACCAGCAACAGGUGACAACCUUCACGGAAUGGGAUGAAGUAAGGAAAUACAGACACCAUGCAGAACCCACUCAGGGAAUCCCAUUGGGAUCUCCAGGAAGCGCAGGCAAAGGCAGGAAUGGGCUACCAAUGGGAAUCUAGACUAAGAUGGCUGGAGAGCAACUAUUCCUUACAUAUCACAUCAGAAAUGCCUUUGUCAACAUUAAUCAACCCUGCUGACAGCUUUGGGAGGAGGGGAAAGAGGAAACACAUUUCAUAGCGAUAUCCCCCAGAUUUUCUGCUGUCAAAUUUGGGCACUCCAAGAUUUUGCUGCACUACAAACUGGAAGCACCAAAAACUGCAAAGCUGCUCUUAGAGAACAGCACUGUUUCUCACCAG
ensembl:lncRNA